rnacentral:rRNA from 1 species
CCUCUCGGGGGUAAGCGGGCAGAACUUGCAAGUAUUGGCAAGAGAUUCAGACUUGAGUUUAGUAAUUGAGUACUUUUGUUAAGUUGUUCAUUCGUGAACUGACUGAUGGUUGUACUUUAUUCUACUAAAAAUGUGUCGCACUUCUCUUUGUCAUCCGGGUUGUAUGCAACUGAUUUUUGGUAGUUUAGGUUUUAAGAAUCUGUGAGUCAUUCAUUCGUGAUUGAUUUAAGUCUUGAAUUUCCAACUACUAAUGCGGUUGUAAGAAAAUAGCGAACAAGCGUUUGACGCGGUCAAUUAUUUUUACGAGUCGUGUAUGUACUUUAUAUGGAUGAGCAAUCAUAGUAUAUUGUAUGUACUGGUUGUCAGUAAAAAUUAUUUUGGCAUUGUUCAGUAUUACAAUCUAAAGCAUGCGUGGUCUGCCUGU